rnacentral:lncRNA from 1 species
UCAAUUCAAUAGGUCAGAUGAUUGAAUUAGUUAUAAAAAAGGUUGGAGUAAGGAAUAAUGGUUAGGAUCUAGAAUUUUAAAAGUAAAGCAUAAGUAAGUUGAAGAAGAUAUUGGAAGGCCCAAACCAUGAUAGUCAUGAGCCAUAGUAAGCUUGAUGCUACUUCUUUGUUUUCUUUGUUUUCUUUGUAAUUGAAGAGUAAUGGAUAGUUUUUGAAUAUUGUGAGGUGAAUCUAUGGAAUAAAUCAGAGAUUGAUUUAUGAGAUAAUAAGUAUGUAAUUAGAGAACUAUGUAAUUGAAUUAUAAUGAAAAGAUAUUGGAAAUUUUUUAUCAGAUUUUGUAGAAGAUUGAUUCUAGAUGAAAGAUUAUGAUUGUUAUUAAUUGAGAGUUAUGUGUAUUUUGACAGAACAAGUAUGUGAUUAUAGAAAUUAUGUGAAGGGAGAUAGGAUGGAAUCGAAGACUGUU